rnacentral:rRNA from 1 species
GGGCUAGCGUGUCGGAAUUACUGGGCGUAAGCGCGCGUAGGCGGUUUUACAACGCCAGAGGUGAAAUGCCUGAGCUCAACUUAGGAAUUGCCUUUGGAACUGUAUGGCUUUGAGGACUAGAGAGGUGAGUGGAAUUCCCAGUGUAGAGGUGAAAUUCGUAGAUAUUGGGAAGAACACCGGUGGCGAAGGCGGCUCACUGGCUCGUUACUGACGCUGUAGCGCGAAAGCGUGGGGAUCAAACAGGAUUAGAUACCCUGGUAGUCCACGCUGUAAACGAUGAGUGCUAGGCGUCGGCACGCUUGCGUGUCGGUGCCGCAGCUAACGCGUGAAGCACUCCGCCUGGGGAGUACGGUCGCAAGAUUAAAACUCAAAGGAAUUGACGGGGGCCCGCACAAGCGGUGGAGCAUGUGGUUUAAUUCGACGCAACGCGCAGAACCUUACCAGCCCUUGUACAUGCCGCGCUACUCACAGAGAUGUGGGGUUCCAGCAAUGGACGCGGACACAGGUGCUGCAUGGCUGUCGUCAGCUCGUGUCGUAAGAUGUUGGGUUAAGUCCCGCAACGAGCGCAACCCUUGCCUUCAGUUGCCAUCAUUAAGUUGGGCACUCUGGAGGGACUGCCGGCGGUAAGCCGGAGGAAGGUGGGGAUGACGUCAAGUCCUCAUGGCCCUUACGGGCUGGGCUACACACGUGCUACAAUGGUGGCGACAGAGGGCACAAGCGAGCGUGUGAACGUUAGCAAAUCCCAAAAAGCCAUCUCAGUUCAGAUUGCGCUCUGCAACUCGGGCGCAUGAAGGUGGAAUCGCUAGUAAUCGCAGAACAGCAGGCUGCGGUGAAUACGUUACCCGGGCCUUGUACACACCGCCCGUCACACCAUGGGAGUUGGUUUUACCUUAAGACGGUGCGCUAACCCGCAGGGAUGCAGCCGGCCACGUAAGUCAG